UACGAAGGGGGCGAGCGUUGUUCGGAAUUACUGGGCGUAAAGGGCGCGCAGGCGGCCUUAGAAGUCAGAUGUGAAAGCCCCGGGCUCAACCUGGGAAUGGCAUUUGAUACUCUGAGGCUGGAGUACGGGAGAGGAGAGUGGAAUUCCCAGUGUAGAGGUGAAAUUCGUAGAUAUUGGGAAGAACACCGGUGGCGAAGGCGGCCAACUGGUCCGGUACUGACGCUGAGGUGCGAAAGCGUGGGAGCAAACAGG
rnacentral:rRNA from 1 species